CAGGAGUUUGGUGAGCGCAAUCGCCGCGGCUUGUCCCCUUUUCCGCCGCUGCCGCUCAGCUCUCUGGGUGGACCGCUGGCGCACCCCGUGAGGCAGACUGUGACUGUCCAGCACCCCCAGAAGUCUUAGCAAAGGAGCCUGCUUGCAGUUAGGCCUCUGUGAUAUCGGAAUUUAUCUCCACAGCACAUCAGAACCUAGCCUGACAUUAUAUGAAUAAGAGAUGCACAUUGGAUUCCUGGGUCUGGAAGAUAUCCUAGAGGAGGAAAUGGCAACCCACUCCAGAAUUCUUGCCUGGAGAAUCCCUGGAGGAGCCCAGCAGGCUACAGCCCUUGGGGUCGCAAAGAGUCAGACACAACUGAAGCCACUUAGCACACAGGCAAAUAUUAUGCUUGCAUGUUCAAAAUGGUACAUAAUAUCACAACAAAU
ensembl:lncRNA